UACGAAGGGUGCAAGCGUUACUCGGAAUUACUGGGCGUAAAGCGUGCGUAGGUGGUUUGUUAAGUCUGAUGUGAAGGCCCUGGGCUCAACCUGGGAAUUGCAUUGGAUACUGGCAGGCUAGAGUGCGGUAGAGGGUAGUGGAAUUCCCGGUGUAGCAGUGAAAUGCGUAGAGAUCGGGAGGAACACCAGUGGCGAAGGCGACUACCUGGACCAGCACUGACACUGAGGCACGAAAGCGUGGGGAGCAAACAGG
rnacentral:rRNA from 1 species